AUUUUGUGAUUCUUUCCUUUAUUUUCAAGAUCUUCUCUGUAUUAUAUUUUACUUGGAGGAUUUUUCCUUGCUGUCUUCAGAUCUCCCUGACUUUGAGUUCCGCUCCCAUCACCAGGAUGCUGCUGAUCUGCUCUCUGCUCUACCCAGCAGCUUGGCUCAGUGGUGGGAGUUCCAGGGGCUGCCUUCACUGUUUCCUUCAAUUAUGUUCUCCAAAGAGUCAUACCUCUCCCAGAGUCUCAGCUAUUCUUCGAGUCCAGGUUUUGUUCAUCAAAAUGAGUGAAAGAGGACUCAUUCGCCUGUACAUCUUAGUGAGCCCAAGUGAAAAAGAAUAAAACAGCAUCUGAAAAUGUAUUAUGGAGUUUGCUUGCUGAUGCAAAAAGAAAAUUAACACCUUGGCUGAUAACUUGGAUUGCUUUACUCUUAUGACGUUUUACAGCAAUAAUUAUCCCUUUCUGUGAAACAACACUUUUUAAGGAAGAUUUUAAUUAGAAAGUUUCUUUUAUUUCCCAUUGCACUCAUGGUACCAAAAGGAAACAUGUCAGUGUCCCUUCCAUUAAUUUAUCAAAUGCUUUCUGCUUUUUAUAAAAAAUGGAUAUCUGACACUGAAGAAAGAUACAGUUUUG
rnacentral:lncRNA from 1 species